rnacentral:misc_RNA from 1 species
UGCUAGCGCUACUCCGCCUCCACAAUAAAGUGGCGGGCCGUGUGCAAAUCCCACGUGUGACGCGCGGUUCUCUCCGUAGUUACAUUUUAUUCCAUAUUGUAAAAUAAACACGGCGCUCAUCUGACCAAGAUCAGGCCGCCAAACCAGGAGGAGCCGCAGCAGGUGGGCGCCGAGGGGCGGGUGGAGCGAGGAGUGAGUUGAGAGUCGAGGAGGCGGCCAGGGGAGGAGGAGGAGGAUGAGUGCCACCACAGAGUGCUACAAGUGCCACAAGCUGGGACACUUCGCCCGCGAAUGCUUCCAGGAUGGCGGCAGUGGGGGCGGGGGCCGAGGUGGCAUGGGUGGAGGGGGACCACGGGGCGGAGGCCGCGGCGCUUCCCGUGGCCGCAUGGAUUACAAGCCUCCCAUCAGAGAAAAGUGCUACAAAUGCAACCGGAUAGGCCACUUCGCCAGGGACUGCAAGGAGGCUGAGGACCGGUGUUAUCGCUGCAACGGCACUGGACACAUCUCCAAGGACUGCCAGCAUGGCCCAGACGAAAUGUCGUGCUACAACUGCGGCAAGAUGGGCCACAUCGCACGCGAGUGCAAGGAGCAGGAGAAGACCUGCUACAUCUGCCACAAGCAGGGACACAUCUCCAGGGACUGCGAGCAGGACGAGAGAAGGCAUGCACUGCUAGCCCGAGUGCUGUCCCACGUACCACGGUAUCGGUUCACUCUGGCCACGAAUACUCAGCAUGCACUCACCAGUCUGCUGUCUCGCUUACCCCGGUGUCGGUUCACUCUGGCAGAUGCUGUUUCAGCGUCCCGAAUGAUGAGUACGGGGGGCGGCAGUGUCAACUAUUUAGAGAAUGGGAGCCCCCUCCAAGACGAACCACCACCGUCACCAUAGGCCGCGGCAGCGGCAGCAUUUUUCUUGUGCACAGAGCGGGAACACAAUUUCGUGCGCUUCCUCCGUCCUUCCCUUGCCCCCAGCCGCUGCAG